GAUGAACGCUGGCGGCGUGCCUAAUACAUGCAAGUCGAGCGAACAGACGAGGAGCUUGCUCCUUUGACGUUAGCGGCGGACGGGUGAGUAACACGUGGGUAACCUACCUAUAAGACUGGGAUAACUUCGGGAAACCGGAGCUAAUACCGGAUAAUAUUUCGAACCGCAUGGUUCGAUAGUGAAAGAUGGCUUUGCUAUCACUUAUAGAUGGACCUGCGCCGUAUUAGCUAGUUGGUAAGGUAACGGCUUACCAAGGCAACGAUACGUAGCCGACCUGAGAGGGUGAUCGGCCACACUGGAACUGAGACACGGUCCAGACUCCUACGGGAGGCAGCAGUAGGGAAUCUUCCGCAAUGGGCGAAAGCCUGACGGAGCAACGCCGCGUGAGUGAUGAAGGUCUUCGGAUCGUAAAACUCUGUUAUUAGGGAAGAACAAACGUGUAAGUAACUGUGCACGUCUUGACGGUACCUAAUCAGAAAGCCACGGCUAACUACGUGCCAGCAGCCGCGGUAAUACGUAGGUGGCAAGCGUUAUCCGGAAUUAUUGGGCGUAAAGCGCGCGUAGGCGGUUUUUUAAGUCUGAUGUGAAAGCCCACGGCUCAACCGUGGAGGGUCAUUGGAAACUGGAAAACUUGAGUGCAGAAGAGGAAAGUGGAAUUCCAUGUGUAGCGGUGAAAUGCGCAGAGAUAUGGAGGAACACCAGUGGCGAAGGCGACUUUCUGGUCUGUAACUGACGCUGAUGUGCGAAAGCGUGGGGAUCAAACAGGAUUAGAUACCCUGGUAGUCCACGCCGUAAACGAUGAGUGCUAAGUGUUAGGGGGUUUCCGCCCCUUAGUGCUGCAGCUAACGCAUUAAGCACUCCGCCUGGGGAGUACGACCGCAAGGUUGAAACUCAAAGGAAUUGACGGGGACCCGCACAAGCGGUGGAGCAUGUGGUUUAAUUCGAAGCAACGCGAAGAACCUUACCAAAUCUUGACAUCCUUUGACCCUUCUAGAGAUAGAAGUUUCCCCUUCGGGGGACAAAGUGACAGGUGGUGCAUGGUUGUCGUCAGCUCGUGUCGUGAGAUGUUGGGUUAAGUCCCGCAACGAGCGCAACCCUUAAGCUUAGUUGCCAUCAUUAAGUUGGGCACUCUAAGUUGACUGCCGGUGACAAACCGGAGGAAGGUGGGGAUGACGUCAAAUCAUCAUGCCCCUUAUGAUUUGGGCUUCACACGUGCUACAAUGGACAAUACAAAGGGCAGCGAAACCGCGAGGUCAAGCAAAUCCCAUAAAGUUGUUCUCAGUUCGGAUUGUAGUCUGCAACUCGACUACAUGAAGCUGGAAUCGCUAGUAAUCGUAGAUCAGCAUGCUACGGUGAAUACGUUCCCGGGUCU
rnacentral:rRNA from 1 species